UACGUAGGGGGCUAGCGUUGUCCGGAUUUAUUGGGCGUAAAGAGCGUGUAGGCGGCCAGGUAGGUCCGUUGUGAAAACUCGAGGCUCAACCUCGAGACGUCGAUGGAAACCAUCUGGCUAGAGUCCGGAAGAGGAGAGUGGAAUUCCUGGUGUAGCGGUGAAAUGCGCAGAUAUCAGGAAGAACACCUAUGGCGAAGGCAGCUCUCUGGGACGGUACUGACGCUGAGACGCGAAAAGCGUGGGGAGCGAACAGG
rnacentral:rRNA from 1 species